rnacentral:rRNA from 1 species
GACAGAGGGUGCAAACGUUGUUCGGAAUUACUGGGCGUAAAGCGUGCGCAGGCGGUUUUGUAAGUCUGUCGUGAAAUCCCCGGGCUCAACCUGGGAAUUGCGAUGGAGACUGCAAGGCUAGAAUCUGGCAGAGGGGGGGUAGAAUUCCACGUGUAGCAGUGAAAUGCGUAGAGAUGUGGAGGAACACCGAUGGCGAAGGCAGCCCCCUGGGUCAAGAUUGACGCUCAUGCACGAAAGCGUGGGGAGCAAACAGG